rnacentral:rRNA from 1 species
UACGUAGGGGGCAAGCGUUGUCCGGAUUCAUUGGGCGUAAAGAGCGUGUAGGCGGCCAGGUAGGUCGGUUGUGAAAACUGGAGGCUCAACCUUCAGAGGUCGACCGAAACCAUCUGGCUAGAGUCCGGGAGAGGAGAGUGGAAUUCCUGGUGUAGCGGUGAAAUGCGCAGAUAUCAGGAAGAACACCCGUGGCGAAAGCGGCUCUCUGGACGGAUACUGACGCUGAUACGCGAAAGCGUGGGGAGCAAACAGG